AGUGCCGUGGAAUCUUUACCGACACCCACCCAAUGGAUCGCAGUGAAUGAAUGGCAAGACGACAAACCUGCAACGUUGUCAUCACAUCACUUGGAGAGAACGGAAAGAAGUGUGAUGGCUUGGAGCAGCACAGAGCAGCCCAACUGUGCACGCCGCAAAGCCCCGGCAGCAUUCUGCACACAUCCGACAUCCGACAUCAAGCAGUCAGUGAGUAAGUGAAUCACUUGCAAUGGGAAGAAUGGACAUGGAAAUGACAGUUCACGGUGGAAUCAGCAACUACAACUUAAGCGUUGGAGUUCAACCUGAUCGAUAAUAGUGCUUUGCAUCCCUUACAAAACACCUGCACCUACAAAAAAACAAGACUAGGAAAGAGCCAUGGGUGGGGAGCGAUGACCUACCUGGGGAGGAGUGACAAGAGCUGUUGGUUCACCGCCUGGCACCUCGGGCAGUCCAGGAUCUGGAGUUGAUGAAUCCGAGGGUGUCGAAGCUUGUGGAGUCGAAAUCGGAGAUGUAGAUGGAGGUAUAGACGGGGAUGGAGCUGGAGUGGUUGUCGACGCAGGAGGUGGUGUCGACAUUGGGACUGGGACUGGGACUGGAGCUGGGACCGGGACCGGCGCCGCGUGAUGCCAUGGAGUUGGAGCUUUAGAAGGUGGGGAGGAGUACGAUGGGGUAGGAGAUGGGGUUGGGAUUACAGAAUUCGGGGGAGUGGCAGGAGCUGGAGUCGUGAAACUGUGAGGUUCAGGGCUCACCGAAGGUGGACGUGAAGAAGGUGGCGGCGGUUGUGAUGGCGAUGAUGCAGUGAUGUUUGGAUGUGGUGGCGGUGCUAUGGAAGGAGGCGGCGAUGUGGAUGGCAAUGGUGAAGGUGGAGGCAAGGGAGUCGGAGCGCUUGCAGAUUUGGAUACCAUUAUAGCGAGCUUCUGGUUGAAGUUGCAGUGUGUGCCCACGCCUUCGGCUCCUUUGUCACAUGAGAAAUAGUACACGCCUGGCUGCGUCGCUUUCCACUGCAUUUGCUUUGCCAAAGACAGAUUCAUAAACAUCGAGCAUAACCUAGAAUCCUAUGCAUGGUCUGUGCAUAUGAAAGUUACUGAAUCAAGGUGGGGUAAUAAUUCGCAAAUGCACCAUGGGUUGCACACUUGGGAGAAUCAAAACCUACUUACCGAAUAGUAGCCUGAGUUCCCCUCGUCAAGCAGAGUAGCGCCGUCGAAGUCACAAUUUUGGUACGUGGCUUGGGAUUUCAUUUGCCACACAUUGUGUACUCCUGCUGCAAAUUUGAAAACUGCAACAGGACAGCUAACAACAAGCUAGUGAGUAAGUUGAAGCUUAGAAGGCAUGAUGAAGGCUCAGAGAAUGUAGGAAAGAAGUUCUCCUAGCGUCUCUAGCAUGUAUGGCUUCGAUCCACACCUAAACUGUCGCCGACGUAAAACUUUUGGGAAGACGCCCACGCUUCGUAAUUGGGAGCAGUAGUUUGGCUGGAAUCGUAGCUUGCCCAUCCUGCCGUUCCUCCAACAUCCACAGACUUGGCGUGGCAGGUGCAAACCAUGAACACAAUCACUGCUGCAAUGGCGAAGUCAACUUCAAAGCCCUUCGUGAGCGCCAUACUAGGCAUGUCAAGCAGCUAUCCC
rnacentral:lncRNA from 1 species